rnacentral:rRNA from 1 species
GUGAGGAAUAUUGGUCAAUGGGCGGGAGCCUGAACCAGCCAAGUCGCGUGAAGGAAGAAGGAUCUAUGGUUCGUAAACUUCUUUUGCAGGGGAAUAAAGUGCAGGACGUGUCCUGUUUUGUAUGUACCCUGAGAAUAAGGAUCGGCUAACUCCGUGCCAGCAGCCGCGGUAAUACGCAGGAUCCGAGCGUUAUCCGGAUUCAUUGGGUCUAAAGGGUGCGUAGGUGGUUUGAUAAGUCAGCGGUGAAAGUUUGCAGCUUAACUGUAAAAAUGCCGUUGAAACUGUCGGACUUGAGUGUAAAUGAGGUAGGCGGAAUGCGUGGUGUAGCGGUGAAAUGCAUAGAUAUCACGCAGAACUCCGAUUGCGAAGGCAGCUUACUAAGCUACAACUGACACUGAAGCACGAAAGCGUGGGGAUCAAACAGGAUUAGAAACCCGUGUAGUCC